rnacentral:rRNA from 4 species
GAGGAAACACCCGUUCCCAUCCCGAACACGGAAGUUAAGCUCUCCAGCGCCGAUGGUAGUUGGGGCCAGCGCCCCUGCAAGAGUAGGUCGCUGCUAGGC